rnacentral:rRNA from 1 species
GAUGAACGCUAGCUACGGGCUUAACACAUGCAAGUCGAACGGAUUCUGGAUUCGUCUGGAAUUAGUGGCAAACGGGUGAGUAACACGUAUCCAACCACCCUGCGACUCGGGGAUAGCCUCUUGAAAGGGAGAUUAAUAUCCGAUGUACUGUUUUUGGUGCAUGCCAUUUUCAGUAAAGUUUUUUUUACGGUCGCUGACGGGGAUGCGUUCCAUUAGAUAGUCGGUGUGGUAACGGCUCACCGAGUCUAUGAUGGAUAGGGGUUCUGAGAGGAAGGUCCCCCACAUUGGAACUGCGACACGGUCCAAACUCCUACGGGAGGCAGCAGUGAGGAAUAUUGGUCAAUGGGCGAAAGCCUGAACCAGCUAUGUAGCGUGAAGGAUGACUGCCCUAUGGGUUGUAAACUUCUUUUGUUCGGGAAUAACAGACUUCACUUGUGGAGUUUUGCAUGUACCGUUCGAAUAAGGAUCGGCUAACUCCGUGCCAGCAGCCGCGGUAAUACGGAGGAUCCUAGCGUUAUUCGGAUUUAUUGGGUUUAAAGGGAGCGUAGGCGGGGGGUCAAGUCAGCUGUGAAAUACGUACGCUUAACGUUCGUCUUGCAGUUGAAACUGGUUUUCUUGAGUGCGUAUGAGGCAGGCGGAAUUCGUGGUGUAGCGGUGAAAUGCUUAGAUAUCACGAGGAACUCCUAUUGCGAAGGCAGCUUGCUGGUCCGCUACUGACGCUGAUGCUCGAAGGUGCGGGUAUCGAACAGGAUUAGAUACCCUGGUAGUCCGCACAGUAAACUAUGGACACUCGCUGUCGGCGAUAUACUGUCGGUGGCUAAGCGAAAGCAUUAAGUGUCCCACCUGGGGAGUACGUCGGCAACGAUGAAACUCAAAGGAAUUGACGGGGGCCCGCACAAGCGGAGGAACAUGUGGUUUAAUUCGAUGAUACGCGAGGAACCUUACCCGGGUUUGAAUUGCUGAAUUUGCAUUUGGAGACAUUUGCUUCCCUUUUGGGUUUCAGUGAAGGUGCUGCAUGGUUGUCGUCAGCUCGUGCCGUGAGGUGUCGGCUUAAGUGCCAUAACGAGCGCAACCCUUGCCGUUAGUUGCCAUCGGGUCAUGCCGGGCACUCUAUUGGGACUGCCAUCGUAAGAUGUGAGGAAGGUGGGGAUGACGUCAAAUCAGCACGGCCCUUAUGUCCGGGGCGACACACGUGUUACAAUGGGGGGUACAGCGGGUUGCUACCUGGUGACAGGGUGCUAAUCUUUAAAACCUCUCUCAGUUCGGAUCGGAGUCUGAAACUCGACUCCGUGAAGCUGGAUUCGCUAGUAAUCGCGCAUCAGCCACGGCGCGGUGAAUACGUUCCCGGGCCUUGUACACACCGCCCGUCAAGCCAUGAAAGUUGGAGGCGCCUGAAGUCCGUAACCGCGAGGAUCGGCCUAGGGCGAAUCUGGUGAUUGGGGCUAAGUCGUAACAAGGUAGCCGUACCGGAAGGUGCGGCUGGAACAACUCCUUU